AUUGAACGCUGGCGGCAGGCCUAACACAUGCAAGUCGAGCGGAUGAAGGGAGCUUGCUCCUGGAUUCAGCGGCGGACGGGUGAGUAAUGCCUAGGAAUCUGCCUGGUAGUGGGGGAUAACGUCCGGAAACGGGCGCUAAUACCGCAUACGUCCUGAGGGAGAAAGGGGGGGAUCUUCGGACCUCACGCUAUCAGAUGAGCCUAGGUCGGAUUAGCUAGUUGGUGGGGUAAAGGCCUACCAAGGCGACGAUCCGUAACUGGUCUGAGAGGAUGAUCAGUCACACUGGAACUGAGACACGGUCCAGACUCCUACGGGAGGCCGCAGUGGGGAAUAUUGGACAAUGGGCGAAAGCCUGAUCCCGCCAUGCCGCGUGUGUGAAGAAGGUCUUCGGAUUGUAAAGCACUUUAAGUUGGGAGGAAGGGCAGUAAGUUAAUACCUUGCUGUUUUGACGUUACCAACAGAAUAAGCACCGGCUAACUUCGUG
rnacentral:rRNA from 1 species